GUGCUCCACCUUAAUGAGCUGCUAAUUUCCUCAUUGGCUUCACCUGCUGGUGGCCCUACAAAAGACCUGCUGCAGCUGAAGAACAGGGGUGGCUUUUGUGGAGAAGUUUUGUGGUUGGAUCCUGUAUAAUGGUGCAGACUUGUGGUUUUUGUUUCUUUGGUUAUUUCUUGUCUUUCUGUAUGGUGUUUGGAUGGGUAAUGUUCUUUCCUUGUAUGUGCAUAUUUGUUAGGUUUUAGGGUAGAGUUGGAAACCUGUAGAAGACUCAGCAUUUGUUUUUUUCAUUAGAAGGAUGACUCCCUUACUAUGGUUGGUAGUCUUCUGCAAGCCCUGCUUUGGCCUUACCUGUUUUGUCCAACACCUAUGAUUGUUAGGGCCAGCAAUGUAGUAUAAUUGAUGGAUCUGCUCUUGUAGCCUAAAGGUCACAGGUUGGAUUCCCCAGAACCUGCUUGACCCUCACCAGACUGGCUUCUGAUCCGGGCACUUGACAGACUGCCCUCCUGGCUGUGAUGGAGGCACUUGCCACUGCAAGAGCCUCAUGCUGCCUCUGUCCUGAUUCUUGCAUCUGUCUGCAGCAUUUGACAUGGUCAACUACUCCUCUUCACUUUGGCUGAGAUGGGAAUUUCUGGGACUGUCCUCUUUUGAUUUGCUUCCUAUCUUGCAGAUGGGUCCUACCAGACCCCAUCCAGGUGACCUAUCUGCUCCUCACACCCUUGUGUAGGAUAUGUAGUGUUUAGAUUUUGGCCUUAGAGGGAAACGGUGAUUAAGAAUGUGGCCUGGCCUCCCCGUCACAAAAGCAUCUGCCAAAUUAAUGUAAUCAAAUUCAUUGUCAUCAGUCAUUGAUUGUCACCUGUCCGAUGGACUUUGUUUUCAGGAAAAAUGAUUGUUUCUUCAGUUGGUAUUGUUCAUCAAUUAAGUUACUGAAUGAAAUUUAUCCAAUUGUUUCUAAGAAUAUUAUUUACUUUAAGGAUGUAAGCAAAUAGGUAAGUAAUUUUGAAAUUUGGGCUUUCAGAAUAGUGUGAAAACAGCAAAUGCAAUU